AGUGAACGCUGGCGGUAGGCCUAACACAUGCAAGUCGAACGGCAGCACAGUAAGAGCUUGCUCUUACGGGUGGCGAGUGGCGGACGGGUGAGGAAUACAUCGGAAUCUACUUUUUCGUGGGGGAUAACGUAGGGAAACUUACGCUAAUACCGCAUACGACCUACGGGUGAAAGCAGGGGAUCUUCGGACCUUGCGCGAUUGAAUGAGCCGAUGUCGGAUUAGCUAGUUGGCGGGGUAAAGGCCCACCAAGGCGACGAUCCGUAACUGGUCUGAGAGGAUGAUCAGCCACACUGGAACUGAGACACGCUCCAGACUCCUACGGGAGGCAGCAGUGGGGAAUAUUGGACGAUGGGCGCAAGCCUGAUCCAGCCAUACCGCGUGGGUGAAGAAGGCCUUCGGGUUGUAAAGCCCUUUUGUUGGGAAAGAAAAGCAGCAGGUUAAUACCCCGCUGUUCUGACGGUACCCAAAGAAUAAGCACCGGCUAACUUCGUG
rnacentral:rRNA from 1 species